rnacentral:rRNA from 1 species
AACGUAGGACGCAAGCGUUAUCCGGAGUUACUGGGCGUAAAGCGCGGGCAGGCGGCGAUUUAAGUCUGAUGUGAAAUCUCCCAGCUCAACUGGGAGCAGCCAUUGGAAACUGGAUCGCUGGAGUCUGACAGAGGUAGGCGGAAUUCCGGGUGGAGUGGUGAAAUGCGUAGAGAUCCGGAGGAACACCAGAGGCGAAGGCGGCCUACUGGGUCAGUACUGACGCUGAGCCGCGAAAGCCAGGGGAGCGAACGGG